GACGAACGCUGGCGGCGUGCUUAACACAUGCAAGUCGAACGGAAAGGCCCUGCUUUUGUGGGGUGCUCGAGUGGCGAACGGGUGAGUAACACGUGAGUAACCUGCCCUUGACUUUGGGAUAACUUCAGGAAACUGGGGCUAAUACCGGAUAGGAGCUCCUGCUGCAUGGUGGGGGUUGGAAAGUUUCGGCGGUUGGGGAUGGACUCGCGGCUUAUCAGCUUGUUGGUGGGGUAGUGGCUUACCAAGGCUUUGACGGGUAGCCGGCCUGAGAGGGUGACCGGCCACAUUGGGACUGAGAUACGUCCCAGACUCCUACCGGAGGCAGCAGUGCAGAAUAUUACACAAUGGGCGGAAGCCUGAUGCAGCAACGCCGCGUGCGGGAUGACGGCCUUCGGGUUGUAAACCGCUUUCGCCUGUGACGAAGCGUGAGUGACGGUAAUGGGUAAAGAAGCACCGGCUAACUACGUG
rnacentral:rRNA from 1 species